rnacentral:pre_miRNA from 1 species
UAUAAGUGCAGCCAUGGUUUUUCGCGCCCAAUUUUGACCGUCCGUCUUAUUUGAAAAUUUUUUGAAAAAAAUUAAAAACAUAAGUCACGAGUAAAGUACUAUCCAUGUUUUAUCAUCUCAUAACAAUAAAAAUAUUAAUUAUAAAUUUUUUUUAAAUAAGACGAACGAUCAAAGUUGGACGCGGAAACUUAUGGUUACACUUAUA